rnacentral:rRNA from 1 species
GCAAAUCGAACGGCANCACGGGGAGCAAUCCUGGUUGGCGAGAUGGCGAACGGNCUGANGUAAUAUAUCGGAACGUGCCCAGUCGUGGGGGAUAACGCAGCGAAAGCUGUGCUAAUACCGCAUACGAUCUAUGGAUGAAAGCGGGGGAUCGCAAGACCUCGCGCGAUUGGAGCGGCCGAUAUCAGAUUAGCUAGUUGGUGGGGUAAAGGCCCACCAAGGCGACGAUCUGUAGCUGGUCUGAGAGGACGACCAGCCACACUGGAACUGAGACACGGUCCAGACUCCUACGGGAGGCAGCAGUGGGGAAUUUUGGACAAUGGGCGCAAGCCUGAUCCAGCAAUGCCGCGUGCAGGAUGAAGGCCUUCGGGUUGUAAACUGCUUUUGUACGGAACGAAACGGUGAGCUCUAAUAAAGUUUGCUAAUGACGGUACCGUAAGAAUAANCACCGGCUAACUACGUGCCAGCAGCCGCGGUAAUACGUAGGGUGCGAGCGUUAAUCGGAAUUACUGGGCGUAAAGCGUGCGCAGGCGGUUAUAUAAGACAGAUGUGAAAUCCCCGGGCUCAACCUGGGACCUGCAUUUGUGACUGUAUAGCUAGAGUACGGUAGAGGGGGAUGGAAUUCCGCGUGUANCAGUGAAAUGCGUANAUAUGCGGAGGAACACCGAUGGCGAAGGCAAUCCCCUGGACCUGUACUGACNCUCAUGCACGAAAGCGUGGGGAGCAAACAGGAUUAGAUACCCUGGUAGUCCACGCCCUAAACGAUGUCAACUGGUUGUUGGGUCUUCNCUGACUCAGUAACGAAGCUANCGCGUGAANUUGACCGCCUGGGGNAGUACGNCCCCANGGUNGAAACUCNAAGGANUG